rnacentral:sRNA from 1 species
AAUAUCGCAAAGGUUCAAAAUUCAAUAUAAGAUAAACAAUUUUAAAAUAACACAUUGGCGUCGUCCCUAGUAUGGACUUACAAAAACACAUUCAUAUAUUGCCUGCCUCCUAUGCUGGACCAUCGUUCUUCGCGGUCCCGAAAAAGAUUGCUUUCUAUGUAUAAAUAUAUAUAGUCACGAAAAUUUAAGAAUCUAAACCGCUUUUUAUAUAUAUUUCAGUAACAAAAAAGUUAGAUGAUUGAGUUGAGGGUGCUUUACCAACUGAUACAACGCUUGGUCACACAUAUCUCUUUGUUCUUGCAAUUUCUUAGAAAGCAAGCUAACCUAAUUUUCACCACUUGCUUUUACACAUAACUGGUUAAGCUCUAUAUCUUGAUGGCAUAUAGAUUUCAUGCAUCUCCUGAUUUCUCCGCUAUAAAAAGUAAUAGUCGCACGUCCCAAAGUUUCAUGUUUAGGCAGCAACUACAACGACGCUAUUAACCUAACAGUUUCUGCUCGUUCUUGUCUGAGUUUUCCUGAAGAAAUAUCAUGAAGAAAGAUUUUUUGUUUAUCGAUUAGUUUGGUUAGGGCGAUAGCUAUUUGAGUUCGGAGUUUCGCAUCUCCAUCGAUGAGUAGCCUUCGACGACACUCUUCAUACC